rnacentral:rRNA from 1 species
UACGUAGGGACCGAGCGUUGUCCGGAAUCAUUGGGCGUAAAGAGCGUGUAGGCGGCCACUUAAGUCCUGCGUGAAAUCUUGCGGCUCAACCGCAAGCGGUCGUGGGAAACUGGGUGGCUAGAGUGCGGGAGAGGAGAGUGGAAUUCCUGGUGUAGCGGUGGAAUGCGCAGAUAUCAGGAAGAACACCCGUGGCGAAGGCGGCUCUCUGGAACGCAACUGACGCUGAGACGCGAAAGCGUGGGGAGCAAACCGG